ensembl:lncRNA
CAAGAGGAAAGUCAAAUGUUUCAAUCUGACUUGAACUGAGUCCUCAGAGUCAAUGAUACAGAGGCAAACCGUCUUCAUGAGGGAGGUAGCCUGGUGAGCUGUAAACCCUGCAAGGCUUGGGAGAGGACACAGCACAGCAGUCCUGUGAAGCUGCUGACUGGAGUUGUUGUAAUUGCUGAUGGGGACGCAUCUCACGUGUGUUUACAUCAUGCUUAAGUGGAAAAUGCUACAGAUAAGGAGAUAGGAAACCUUAGCCAAGGAAUGACGUGCUGCCGGCACCACAGCCACACCUUGAUAGUCCUCCCUCAUGAACUGCAAGGCAGCUGGGGUAUACAAAGUACCUGCAUAGUGGCAGAGUCGUCUCUCUGACAUGGAAGAAGUCAUUCAUACAUUUCUAUAGAUCUGGUUGUAAGCUGUCAGCUACUGCUCCAGCACCAUGCCUGCCUGCCUGCCUGCCUGCUGCCAUGAUGGUCGUACACACUA